UUCCGGUUGAUCCUGCCGGACCUGACUGCUAUCGGAUUGAUACUAAGCCAUGCGAGUCUUUGUAGUAAUACAAGGCAUGCGGCUCAGUAACGCGUAGUCAACCUACCCUAUGGACAAGAAUAAUCUCGGGAAACUGAGCAUAAUUCUUGAUAGAUCAUAAUGCCUGGAAUGGUUUAUGGUUAAAAUGAUUCGUCGCCAUAGGAUGGGACUGCGGCCUAUCAGCUUGUUGGUGAGGUAAUGGCCCACCAAGGCGAUUACAGGUACGGGCUCUGAGAGGAGAAGCCCGGAGAUGGGUACUGAGACAAGGACCCAGGCCCUAUGGGGCGCAGCAGGCGAGAAAACUUUGCAAUGUGCGAAAGCACGACAAGGUUAGUCCGAGUGAUUUCUGCUAAAGAGAUCUUUUGCUAGUUAUAAAACCACUAGUGAAUAAGGGGUGGGCAAGUUCUGGUGUCAGCCGCCGCGGUAAAACCAGCACCUCAAGUGGUCAGGAUGAUUAUUGGGCCUAAAGCAUCCGUAGCCGGCUCUGUAAGUUUUCGGUUAAAUCUAUGCGCUCAACGUAUGGGCUGCCGAAAAUACUGCAGAGAUAGGGAGUGGGAGAGGUAGACGGUACUCGGUAGGAAGGGGUAAAAUCCUUUGAUCUAUCGAUGACCACCUGUGGCGAAGGCGGUCUACCAGAACACGUUCGACGGUGAGGGAUGAAAGCUGGGGGAGCAAACCGGAUUAGAUACCCGGGUAGUCCCAGCUGUAAACGAUGCAGACUCGAUGAUGCAUUGGCAUAUAGCCAGUGCAGUGUCGCAGGGAAGCCGUUAAGUCUGCCGCCUGGGAAGUACGUACGCAAGUAUGAAACUUAAAGGAAUUGGCGGGGGAGCACCACAAGGGGUGAAGCCUGCGGUUCAAUUGGAUUCAACGCCGGG
rnacentral:rRNA from 1 species